rnacentral:rRNA from 1 species
AUUGAACGCUGGCGGCAGGCCUAACACAUGCAAGUCGAACGAGUGGCGGAAGGGAGAGUAAUGCUUGGGAAUCGUGCUUAUGGAUGGGGAUAACUAAGGGAAACUGUAGCCGAUAACGCGUACAAUAGGAUGGGCCGAAUUGGGAUUAGGUAGUUGGUGAGGUAAAGGCUAACCACGCCGACGAUCUCUAGCUGGUCUGAGAGGAUGACCAGCCACACUGGAACUGAGACACGGCCCAGACUCCUACGGGAGGCAGCAGUGGGGAAUAUUGCGCAAUGGGGGCAAGCCUGACGCAGCCAUGCCGCGUGAAUGAAGAAGGCCUUCGGGUUGUAAAGCACUUUCAGCUGGGAGGCGUUACCCGCAGAAGAAGCACCGGCUAACUCCGUGCCAGCAGCCGCGGUAAUUC